rnacentral:rRNA from 1 species
UACGUAGGGACCAAGCGUUGUUCGGAUUUACUGGGCGUAAAGGGCGCGUAGGCGGCUUAACAAGUCACUUGUGAAAUCUCCGGGCUUAACUCGGAACGGCCAAGUGAAACUGUCAAGCUAGAGUGCAGAAGGGGCAAUCGAAAUUACCGGUGUAGCAGUGAAAUGCGUAGAGAUCGGUAGGAACACCAAUGGCGAAGGCAGCUUGCUGGCAUGUAUCUGACGCUAAGGCACGAAAGCGUGGGGAGCGAACAGG